GGAUUGAAGGCUGAAAUUCGCCUUCAUGAAGCUGGAAUUGCUAGUAAUGGCAGGUCAGCAUACUGCCGUGAAUACGUUCCCGGGCCUUGUACACACCGCCCGUCACACCAUGAGAGUUGGGAAUACCCGAAGCCUGUGAGCUAACUUAUAGAGGCAGCAGUCGAAGGUAGAAUCAAUGAUUGGGGUGAAGUCGUAACAAGGUAUC
rnacentral:rRNA from 1 species